rnacentral:rRNA from 1 species
CAGUAGCCACGGUAAUACGUAGGUGGCAAGCGUUGUCCGGAAUUAUUGGGCGUAAAGGGCUCGCAGGCGGUUUCUUAAGUCUGAUGUGAAAGCCCCCGGCUCAACCGGGGAGGGUCAUUGGGAACUGGGAAACUUGAGUGCAGAAGAGGAGAGAGGAAUUCCACGUGUAGCGGUGAAAUGCGUAGAGAUGUGGAGGAACACCAGUGGCGAAGGCAACUCUCUGGUCUGUAACUGACGCUGAGGAGCGGAAGCGUGGGGAGCGAACAGGAUUAGAUACCCCGGUAGUCCCUGUCUCUUAUAC